UACCAGCUCUCCGAGUUGUAGGGACGAUUAUUGGGCUUAAAGCGUCCGUAGCUGGCUUAGCAAGUCUCCUGUUAAAUUCAGCGACCUAAUCGUUGAGCCGCGGGAGAUACUACUAGGCUAGGAGGCGGGAGAGGUCGACGGUACUUUCGGGGUAGGGGUGAAAUCCUAUAAUCCCGGGAAGACCACCAGUGGCGAAGGCUGUCGACUAGAACGCGCUCGACGGUGAGGGACGAAAGCUGGGGUAGCGAACCGGAUUAGAUACCCGGGUAGUCCCAGCUGUAAACUAUGCGGGCUAGGUGUUGGGGUGGCUACGGGCCACUUCAGUGCCGCAGGAAAGCCAUUAAGCCCGCCGCCUGGGGAGUACGGCCGCAAGGCUGAAACUUAAAGGAAUUGGCGGGGAGCACCACAAGGCGUGAAGCUUGCGGUUC
rnacentral:rRNA from 1 species